rnacentral:rRNA from 1 species
CGGGAUUACUGGGCGUAAGCGCACGCAGGCGGUCUGUCAAGUCGGAUGUGAAAUCCCCGGGCUCAACCUGGGAACUGCAUUCGAAACUGGCAGGCUAGAGUCUUGUACAGGGGGGUAGAAUUCCAGGUGUAGCGGUGAAAUGCGUAGAGAUCUGGAGGAAUACCGGUGGCGAAGGCGGCCCCCUGCACAAAGACUGACGCUCAGGUGCGAAAGCGUGGGGAGCAAACAGGAUUAGAUACCCUGGUAGUCCACGCCGUAAACGAUGUCGACUUGGAGGUUGUGCCCUU